rnacentral:rRNA from 1 species
UCCGGUUGAUCCUGCCGGACCCGACUGCUAUCGGAUUGAGAUUUAGCCAUGCGAGUCGAACGUCCCCCUGUUGCGGGGAGCGUGGCGUACGGCUCAGUAACACGUAGUCAACCUGCCCUGGAGACAAGGACAACCCCGGGAAACUGGGAUUAAUCCUUGAUAGGUCAUCUCAUCUGGAAGGAGAGAUGGCUUAAAGGGGUACGCGGGCUUCUUCCGCGAAUCCGCUCCAGGAUGGGACUGCGUCCGAUCAGGCUGUUGGCGGGGUAAUGGCCCACCAAACCUGUAACCGGUGCGGGCCUUGAGAGAGGUGGCCCGGAGAUGGACACUGAGAGAAGGGUCCAGGUCCUACGGGGCGCAGCAGGCGCGAAACCUUCGCAAUGCGCGAAAGCGUGACGAGGUUAAUCCGAGUGGCCCCCGCUGAGGGGGUCUUUUGUCAGCUGUAAAUAGGCAGGCGAAUAANGGGAGGCAAGCCUGGUGUCAACCCGCCGCGGUAAUACCAGCUUCCUCGAGUGGUCGGGGCGAUUAUUGGGCCUUAAAGCAUUCCNUAACCGGUUCCGUAAGUCCCNCUGGUUAAAUCCAACCGCUNNACNGUUNGACCUNGCANAAGGAUACCNCGGGAAUAAGGANGCNGGAAAAGNNGACGGUACUCCCCNGUANGGGGUAAAANCUUUUGAUCCCGGAAAACCCNACNGGGAAAGNGGUCCNCCAAAACCNC